ACGAACGCUGGCGGCGUGCCUAAUACAUGCAAGUCGAACGCUUCUUUUUCCAUCGGAGCUUGCUCCACCGGAAAAAGAGGAGUGGCGAACGGGUGAGUAACACGUGGGUAACCUGCCCAUCAGAAGGGGAUAACACUUGGAAACAGGUGCUAAUACCGUAUAACAAUCGAAACCGCAUGGUUUUGAUUUGAAAGGCGCUUUCGGGUGUCGCUGAUGGAUGGACCCGCGGUGCAUUAGCUAGUUGGUGAGGUAACGGCUCACCAAGGCGACGAUGCAUAGCCGACCUGAGAGGGUGAUCGGCCACAUUGGGACUGAGACACGGCCCAAACUCCUACGGGAGGCAGCAGUAGGGAAUCUUCGGCAAUGGACGAAAGUCUGACCGAGCAACGCCGCGUGAGUGAAGAAGGUUUUCGGAUCGUAAAACUCUGUUGUUAGAGAAGAACAAGGAUGAGAGUAACUGUUCAUCCCUUGACGGUAUCUAACCAGAAAGCCACGGCUAACUACGUGCCAGCAGCCGCGGUAAUACGUAGGUGGCAAGCGUUGUCCGGAUUUAUUGGGCGUAAAGCGAGCGCAGGCGGUUUCUUAAGUCUGAUGUGAAAGCCCCCGGCUCAACCGGGGAGGGUCAUUGGAAACUGGGAGACUUGAGUGCAGAAGAGGAGAGUGGAAUUCCAUGUGUAGCGGUGAAAUGCGUAGAUAUAUGGAGGAACACCAGUGGCGAAGGCGGCUCUCUGGUCUGUAACUGACGCUGAGGCUCGAAAGCGUGGGGAGCAAACAGGAUUAGAUACCCUGGUAGUCCACGCCGUAAACGAUGAGUGCUAAGUGUUGGAGGGUUUUCGCCCUUCAGUGCUGCAGCUAACGCAUUAAGCACUCCGCCUGGGGAGUACGACCGCAAGGUUGAAACUCAAAGGAAUUGACGGGGGCCCGCACAAGCGGUGGAGCAUGUGGUUUAAUUCGAAGCAACGCGAAGAACCUUACCUGAUCUUGACAUCCCGAUGACCGCUUCGUAAUGGAAGUUUUUCUUCGGAACAUCGGUGACAGGUGGUGCAUGGUUGUCGUCAGCUCGUGUCGUGAGAUGUUGGGUUAAGUCCCGCAACGAGCGCAACCCUUAUUGUUAGUUGCCAUCAUUUAGUUGGGCACUCUAGCAAGACUGCCGGUGACAAACCGGAGGAAGGUGGGGAUGACGUCAAAUCAUCAUGCCCCUUAUGACCUGGGCUACACACGUGCUACAAUGGGAAGUACAACGAGUCGCAAAGUCGCGAGGCUAAGCUAAUCUCUUAAAGCUUCUCUCAGUUCGGAUUGUAGGCUGCAACUCGCCUACAUGAAGCCGGAAUCGCUAGUAAUCGCGGAUCAGAAUGCCGCGGUGAAUACGUUCCCGGGUCUUGUACACACCGCCCGUCACACCAUGGGAGUCGGCAACGCCCGAAGCCAGUGACCCAACCGAAAGGAGGGAGCUGUCGAAGGCGGGGCCGGUAACUGGGGUG
rnacentral:rRNA from 1 species